rnacentral:rRNA from 1 species
UGAGUAACACGUGGGCAACCUACCCAGAAGACCGGGAUAACGGCUCGAAAGGGCCGCUAAUACCGGAUAAUGUCGGGGUACCGCAUGGUACUCCGAAGAAAGGGGAAACCCGCUUUUGGAUGGGCCCGCGUCCCAUCAGCUAGUUGGUGAGGUAACGGCUCACCAAGGCGACGACGGGUAGCUGGUCUGAGAGGAUGGUCGGCCACACUGGGACUGAGACACGGCCCAGACUCCUACGGGAGGCAGCAGUUGGGAAUCUUGGGCAAUGGGCGAAAGCCUGACCCAGCGACGCCGCGUGAGGGAAGAAGGCCUUCGGGUCGUAAACCUCUGUCAUGGGGGAAGAAGCAAGUGACGGUACCCCAAGAGGAAGCCCCUGCUAACUACGUGCCAGCAGCCGCGGUAAUACGUAGGGGGCGAGCGUUGUCCGGAUUUACUGGGCGUAAAGGGCGAGUAGGCGGUCUGUUAAGUCAGGUGUGAA